UAUUGCUUAAAGAAUCAUUAAAGAACUGUAGAAGAUAUCUCUAAACAAUUCUUAAACUGAUUCUAGCAAAUCAUUAAGGCUUCGUUUGGGAUUGCGGGGAGAUUGCGUUACGUACGGUCAGAAACGACGAUGGAAAAUUACUGUUUGUUUUCGUACGUAAUAUUGCAUUCUGCAUAUUGCGGUUAGUAGGUUACGAUAUAUUUUCUGCGGUCUCAUUGGAGAACGCAGAAACAUAUCCCUAUAUGCUUUUUCUCAACUCUAUUUUAUCUAAUAGUGUUAGAUUGACCUCAACACCAAACUAAGCCUAAGAAUUAGGGCACCAAGAAUCA
rnacentral:lncRNA from 1 species